ACCGUUAACAGCUAACGCAUUUUUCUUCCAUUAACUACUUACUAACUUAGUUUUCAUUUUUUGGAUGCAUGUACAGGUAACCAAAAGCUGAUUUCUUGAGAAGUGUUUGGAUACUCCAAACUCCCCGAAAACAUCAACUCACGAAUCCGCUUGGCGACGGUUCUUCAAGCUCUCCAACCUCGACGGUGAAGGCGUGCGCGGCUGAUCCAGCUCCGAUCUUCCGGUCCUCAUCUCGCCCAUGCAACGGGAAUAGGUUUACCACUCUAAAUUCCAUGGGCUCACCACCCUCCUGGUUCCGACACGCCAUAGUAUUUUUGUUUUUCUUGUAUUUUCGUACCGAUGGCCCAUUUCCUCCAGCUGAACAACCACACAAAUUACAAUC